CAGUGUGCCAGGGGGACAGGAAAGGGUUAAUACGAGCAUCUGGGAGUCUCGCCCACCAUCCUGCACUUCCACCAAUAGGCCGAAAGACUGGAGAGGAGCAGUGAGCAAAACAGACAGGGAGAGACAGAGAAGCAGGGAACUAGCAGAGGAAGGGGAGCAGUGAGGAGCAAGUGGAAGGAGAAGGAGAUUAGCAGGGACAGAGACCAUAGAGAAAGAAGAAAGGGUGCACAGCAGGAGUGCCACACACCAGACACUGGCUGCCUAAUUCUGGAGACUGACACCAAUAAAGCGAAUAGAAGAGCAGGUGAUGAGCAAGUGGAGGAAGCGUGGAGAAACAGCACGAUUAUCAGCUAGUAGGAUACAUAAAGAUCCACUGCCUGCCUCUCUGGAGGUCUCACAAUAGAGGGGCACCUGCUUCUUCCGAAUUCCAUUGAAGAGGAACCCAGUACUCUUCUGCACCUUGAGACAGAAACUGGUGGGGAGGGAACCUUCCUUUUCUCCACGCAAAGGACUAUGACUGUCUGCAAGUCUAACUCUUUAUCAUGCUUACAGACUGCCAAACCAGGCCCGCCGCCACCCCAUCCAGGGCAGGCAGCCACAGACUCUACGGCCACCCUCAACAAGCUGGCACUGGCUACAGGAGGUGCGGAGAAGUCCUGGCAUCGCUGUGUGUUCCCCUUUGGGGCUGUGGCUUUAGUGAUUGGCAUUGCCGCCACGUGCAUCACCUUUAAAUUUCGAGGGCCGCACAUGGACAUUGCCAAGGCAGUGUCGGUGGCGGCACUGGCAGCUGGGGCGGCGUUGUUGGUGGCUGCUUUUUUGUGCUGGAGGUCCCGGCGGGAACGACGAAGAAGGAGAGAGGAGGCAGAAGCGGAGGAACAGGGGGGGCUGUGAUUGGAUUAAUCCUUUCAAUGCGGUGCGGUGAAACUCUAGUAAGAAUGGGGUAUCUCUGUAGUAGACCCCAGACAAAAACUCAUCAGCUCAUUGCUCCACUGGGUUCAUAGGGGAGCAGAGUGCUGAAUGGUUUGAGAGGAAAGCAUGUAUCGUACCCACUGUGCCCAUUAACUCAUUCAGUCUCAUUUAAGGCUUUGAGUCACCAACGUUUCAAGUCCUUCCGGAGAACAGUGAUUGUGCUGCUUUUCGGGUGAAAGUGGGUUACGCUGCAAAGUGUGAGUGCCUUACUGCUCUUCGAAAUAGGACGCUGCCUGCUCUCCUCACCUAUCCGCUACCCAGGACUCAGACCAAUGUGUUUUUGCUCUGCGCAAUCUCCAGCUUUCUCAGAAGUGGCCUUAAAUUUCUCUGAUCCAAGAGGCAUUUGACUGAGUGUUUGGUGUCCAACUUCGCCUCGUUCUGUGUUCCUUUCAUGUGGCUCCUGAAAGGAGAAUGUUAACAAUUCCCUGUGGGAUCAGUGGCUAUUUGACUCCUGUCUCUGUUUAGUCCUUUGUAUGCAAAAAUACAUAUUCUUGGGACAGUGUAUCUUCUGUGAGAAAGAAAUCCCUGAUUCUAUAAAUUGUUAUGUGUACAA